rnacentral:ncRNA from 1 species
AUGCUGGAGGGGCCUAGCGCUGAGAGGGUUCACACCCGACUCCUUGCACCUGAUGCGGGUAAUACCGACGUAGGGAAAGCAUU